UACGUAGGGUGCGAGCGUUUAAUCGGAAUUACUGGGCGUAAAGCGUGCGUAGGCGGUUCGCUGUGUCCGAUGUGAAAGCCCCGGGCUUAACCUGGGAAUGGCAUUGGAAACUGGCGGGCUUGAGUGUGGCAGAGGGGGGUGGAAUUCCGCGCGUAGCAGUGAAAUGCGUAGAGAUGCGGAGGAACACCGAUGGCGAAGGCAGCCCCCUGGGUUAACACUGACGCUCAGGCACGAAAGCGUGGGGAGCAAACAGG
rnacentral:rRNA from 1 species